rnacentral:rRNA from 1 species
AUUGAACGCUGGCGGCAUGCCUUACACAUGCAAGUCGAACGGCAGCACGGGUGCUUGCACCUGGUAGCGAGUGGCGAACGGGUGAGUAAUACAUCGGAACAUGUCCUGUAGUGGGGGAUAGCCCGGCGAAAGCCGGAUUAAUACCGCAUACGAUCUACGGAUGAAAGCGGGGGACCUUCGGGCCUCGCGCUAUAGGGUUGGCCGAUGGCUGAUUAGCUAGUUGGUGGGGUAAAGGCCUACCAAGGCGACGAUCAGUAGCUGGUCUGAGAGGACGACCAGCCACACUGGGACUGAGACACGGCCCAGACUCCUACGGGAGGCAGCAGUGGGGAAUUUUGGACAAUGGGCGAAAGCCUGAUCCAGCAAUGCCGCGUGUGUGAAGAAGGCCUUCGGGUUGUAAAGCACUUUUGUCCGGAAAGAAAUCCUUGGCCCUAAUACGGUCGGGGGAUGACGGUACCGGAAGAAUAAGCACCGGCUAACUACGUG